rnacentral:lncRNA from 1 species
GAAGUGAUAGAAAAAUUCUGAAGAAAAAAUAAAAAAGGAAAGGGAAGAAAAAUAGAAAGAAAGAGAGAAAGAAAAAGGAAAAGUAUGAGGUACUUGUCCUAAAAUCAGAUUGUUCAUGUGUUGAACAUAAAAUCUGAUUAGAGUGUGGUUUGAUACUUUGGAAAAGAGUUUCUAGAGUGGUCCUGUUGAAGGUCAUAAAGGCAUACAAGCAAUGGUGUAUCAAGUUCUUGUGAAGGA